rnacentral:rRNA from 1 species
UACGAAGGGUGCAAGCGUUAAUCGGAAUUACUGGGCGUAAAGGGUGCGUAGGCGGUUCGUUAAGUCUGUCGUGAAAUCCCCGGGCUCAACCUGGGAAUGGCGAUGGAUACUGGCGAGCUAGAGUGUGUCAGAGGAUGGUGGAAUUCCCGGUGUAGCGGUGAAAUGCGUAGAUAUCAAGAGGAACACCUGAGGUGAAGACGGGUUGCUGGGCUGACACUGACGCUGAGGCGCGAAAGCCAGGGGAGCAAACGGG